GAUGAACGCUGGCGGCGUGCCUAAUACAUGCAAGUCGAGCGAACAGACGAGGAGCUUGCUCCUUUGACGUUAGCGGUGGACGGGUGAGUAACACGUGGAUAACCUACCUAUAAGACUGGGAUAACUUCGGGAAACCGGAGCUAAUACCGGAUAACAUGUUGAACCGCAUGGUUCAACAGUGAAAGACGGUCUUGCUGUCACUUAUAGAUGGUUCCGCGCCGCAUUAGCUAGUUGGUAAGGUAACGGCUUAUCAAGGCAACGAUGCGUAGCCGACCUGAGAGGGGGGUCGGCCACCUGGGAACGUAGACGCGGUCCAUACUCCUACGGGAGGGAGCAGUAGGGAAUCGUCCGCAAUGGGCGAAAGCCUGACGGAGCAACGCCGCGUGAGUGAAGAAGGUCUUCGGAUCGUAAAACUCUGUUAUUAGGGAAGAACAAAUGUGUAAGUAACUAUGCACGUCUUGACGGUACCUAAUCAGAAAGCCACGGCUAACUACGUG
rnacentral:rRNA from 1 species